AGAGUUCAAUCUUGGCUCAGGAUGAACACUGGCGGCAUGCUUACCACAUGCAAGUCGGACGGGAAGUGGUGUUUCCAGUGGCGGACGAGUGAGUAAUGCAUAAGAACCUGCCCUUGGGAGGGGAACAACAGCUAAAAACGACUACUAAUACCCAGUAAGUUGAGGCCAAAAGGAGGAAUCCGCUUGAGAAGGGGCUCGCAUCUAAUUAGCUAGUUGGUGAGGCAAUAUCUUACCAAGGCGAUGAUCAGUAGCUGAUGAUUAGCCACACUGAGAGUGAGACACGACCCAGAAUCCUAUAGGAGGCAGCAGUGGGGAAUUUUCUGCAAUGGGCGAAAGCCUGGCGGAGCAAUUCCUCGUGGAGGUAGAAGGCCUAUGGGUUGUGAACUUCUUUUCCCAGAGAAGAAACAAUGACAGUAUCUAGGGAAUAAGAAUCGGCUAACUCUGUGCCAGCAGCCACGGUAAUACAGAGGAUGCAAGCGUUAUCCUGAAUGAUUGGGCAUAAAGCGUUUGUAGGUGGCUUUUUAAGUCCGUCAUCAAAUCCCAGGGCUCAACCCUGGAUAGGUGGUGGAAACUACCAAGCUGGAGUACGGUAGAGGAAGAGGGAAUGUCUGGUGGAGCGGUGAAAUGCGUAGAGAUCGGAAAUAACACCAACGGCAAAAGCACUCUGUUGGGCCGAUCCUAACACUAGGAGACAAAAGUUAGGGGAGCGAAUGGGAUUGGAUACCCCAGUAGUCCUAGUUGUAAACGAUGGAUGCUAAGCGAUAUGCAUAUCAACCCGUGCAGUGUUGUAGCUAAUGCGUUAAGUAUCAGGCCUGGGGAGUACGUUCGCAAGAAUGAAACCCAAAGGAAUUGAUGGGGGCUUGCACAAGUGGUGGAGCACGUGGUUUAAUUCAAUGCAAAGCGAAGAACCUUACCAGGGCUUGACAUGUCGUGAAUCCUCUUGAAAGAGAGGGUUGCCUUUGGAAACGCGAACACAGGUGGUGUAUGGCUGUCGUCAGCUCAUGUCGUAAGGUGUUGGACUAAGUCCCGCAACAAGCGCAACCCUCAUGUCUAGUUGCCACCGUUGAGUUUGGAACCCUGAGCAGACUGUCGGUGAUAAGUCGGAGGAAGGUGAGGAUGACGUCAAGUCAUUAUCUAUGUUACGACAUAUGUUCUAUGGAUAUAGGAUUUUUAAUGCACCAAACUCUUAUUUUGUUUAUUCUGGACCGCGAGAAUUAUUUGUUUCGAUCUGUAUUUUUUUACCCAUAAUAGCUAUUGGUAUUUAUCCGGAUUUCGUUUUUUCACUAUCCGUUGAUAAAGUCGAAGCUCUUUUAUCUAAUUAUUUUUAUCCAUAGUUUUUGUGAGUAACCAAAAAAUCAAACGGAAAUCCUAUGAUU
rnacentral:rRNA from 1 species